rnacentral:lncRNA from 1 species
GUACCGGUGAUUUAACCAUCGAAGAGGUGAAAUGGUCCGAUUUUAAUCAAAGCGAUCGAAUUUUCUUAUCAAAUCAUAUUGAAAUCCAACGAUUUAAAAUCAAUUUAACUGAUUUGAUUUUCUAUUAACACAUAUUCAUGUAAUAAAAAAAUAAAACUUAAAAACAUUAUAGUUACUUAAUUUGGUUUAAAAAUCAGUAUUUUUAUUAUUAAGUAUAAUGUUAAAAUGAUAAUAUAUAUUCUCUGUAGACUAAAUUUAUGACAUUAUGUUAUUGUCACUGGUUCAACUAGUUAUUGACAUAUUGGUGAAUCAGUGACUCUUGAACCAGUAAUAUUUUUGAAUCGUUAUUUGACUCGAUUUUUAAAACAUAUUCGCUUCUCUCGCUAGUCCUCUCUCCAUAUUAUUUUGUACUGUAUUAUCACCACAAAAAAAUAACUAAUGCAUAAAGGGCAUUGUUGUAAUUUUACU